GAUGAACGCUGGCGGCGUGCCUAAUACAUGCAAGUCGAGCGAACAGACGAGGAGCUUGCUCCUCUGAUGUUAGCGGCGGACGGGUGAGUAACACGUGGAUAACCUACCUAUAAGACUGGGAUAACUUCGGGAAACCGGAGCUAAUACCGGAUAACAUGUUGAACCGCAUGGUUCAACAGUGAAAGACGGUCUUGCUGUCACUUAUAGAUGGAUCCGCGCCGCAUUAGCUAGUUGGUAAGGUAACGGCUUACCAAGGCAACGAUGCGUAGCCGACCUGAGAGGGUGAUCGGCCACACUGGAACUGAGACACGGUCCAGACUCCUACGGGAGGCAGCAGUAGGGAAUCUUCCGCAAUGGGCGAAAGCCUGACGGAGCAACGCCGCGUGAGUGAAGAAGGUCUUCGGAUCGUAAAACUCUGUUAUUAGGGAAGAACAAAUGUGUAAGUAACUAUGCACGUCUUGACGGUACCUAAUCAGAAAGCCACAGCUAACUACGUG
rnacentral:rRNA from 1 species